rnacentral:lncRNA from 1 species
CAAGAUGCUCCACUGAGAAAAGAAAAUGCUUUAUAUUAUUGUACUUAAAGUAGAUGUUUUGGCUUUUCAUGUUUUACUUUUGUAAAAAGAAUAUAUUCCUUUCCUGUAGCUUUCUCAUGCGUAUGCAUAUGAGAUAAGCAUAGUAGUCUUUGAUCAGAUAAGAAUGCCAUGUGGCAAGAGUUUGUGGUUUGUAAGCUUAUCCAGACGAUUCUCCCUUCUCCUAUAUAAAGGAGGGUUCGUCUCUCUUGUAAAUCAAGUUGUGUGAGAAUAAACCCUUAUUUCCUCAUGCUGUAAACUCAAGGCAGGAGAGUAUCUUUACUCAAGGCAAGAGAGUUUCCUCAAGCUAAGACCAAAGAGGCACCUCGCCAUGGGGCUCUUUCUGCUCUUUUGGAUCUCAAAUAGCCGAGUUAGCCUUUUUGGAUUAUAACAUAAAUAGAUCGUAGCAACAGUUAGUUCAUUGCCAUUGUAUAGAGAAGAAGAAUAGAGAGAAAUUAGAAAGCCAUGACAGAUAAGAGAGAAAUAAGGGUUUAUUCUCACACAACUUGAUUUACAAGAGAGACGAACCCUCCUUUAUAUAGGAGAAGGGAGAAUCGUCUGGAUAAGCUUACAAACCACAAACUCUUGCCACAUGGCAUUCUUAUCUGAUCAAAGACUACUAUGCUUAUCUCAUAUGCAUACGCAUGAGAAAGCUACAGGAAAGGAAUAUAUUCUUUUUACAAAAGUAAAACAUGAAAAGCCAAAACAUCUACUUUAAGUACAAUAAUAUAAAGCAUUUUCUUUUCUCAGUGGAGCAUCUUGCUUUUGUGAGUGGCUUAUCUGGUUAUUACCAAAUACGCUUAUUGAUGGGCUCAUGCUCUGAAUAGUCAUCAUCAGAGUCGUCUGACUCACUUAUGCUAUAGUUGCGCAUGCGUCGUGAUGGGCCAGGUGUGUCAGAUGGAUGGAACCGAGGAGAUUUACGUGGCGUCUCUUGAGACAAUAGUUAUGAAUCUGAUGGAAGAGGUUCUUCUAGCUGUGACCAUGGCUCUUGGAAAGUUGGGUUUAUCUCCAUUGCUGACGUAUCUUCAUUUUGCUGGCUGGAUGAAGUUGAAGGUGUUGAGGAAGUAGGAGUGAACAGACGUCUUUGAUCUGAAGGUUUUCUGUGCAUGUUGAUUACUGGAAAUACUUCAUUAGUUGUAUGAUUGAGUUUAUU